CUUUUUCACCUCAUUCUCCUUCUUCACCCAAUCCCUACAUCGAUUUCUCAGUUUCUCUCCCUCUCCUUCAAUUCGUCUUCUCUCCAUCUCCUUGCUCACCAUCUCUGUUGAAGUACGUUUUCUCACUAUCUCACUUCUCGUCAUUUAUGUGUUCCAGAUCCGUUGUCUCCAUCCAAAUCGGUUUCUUUGUUCCCUUCAUCUCUCCAUCUCCAUUGUAAAUUAAAAGGUAUCAAACUUUAUGUUUGAACACAAUUUAGUUAUGAUUUUGUCCUAAUUUCUAUAAUUAAUACCCAUUUUUAUAUUUGGAAUUUUGCCCUAAUUUUGCCCUAACUAAGUCAUGAUCUUGUGCAAAAAACAGGUUUUUUAAAUAAAAUUAUUGUAUUGUUUAUAUUUUAUUAUAUUAUAAUAUAAUAAUAUAUUAAUUAUAGGAAUAAUAUAUUAAUAUUGUGUAAUAUGAUUUUUAUAUAAAAAAUAUAUUUCCUUCUAAAAUAUAUUAUUUAACUCAUAAUGUAUAACUAAUUAUUGAUGAAAAAUUAAAUAAAUUUAGAAAUCUACAAUAAUAGUUCAUCUAUUUAUAUAAAAUAAAUGACAGUAGUCAUCUUUAAAUUAAUUAUUUAUUUGCUUAUAUAUUCAUUUAUUUAUGUAUUAGGUAAUAUCUUAUUUGAAAUCUGAUAGAUAUACUUAUAUAAUUUAAUAAUAAAAUAUUAUUGUAUAAUUGAAUAAUAUUGUUAUCAAGAAUAUGAAUUUUAAAUAACACUAACUAAAUUAAAAAAUAUAUGAGAAUAGGAUAUAGUGGUAGGUUGAUAAUUAUGAUAGUAUGUAGAUAAAAAGAUUUUGAAAUCAAAUAUAAAUGAAAAAUAGCUUCUUUUCCUAAAUUUUAGGUUUCUAUUCCUAAAGGAUUAGAAGAUCAUCCUCCUAAAUUUUAGGGGGUUGAGAGACGAUUUUAUGCUAUUAAUUAUAUAUAUAAUUUUUUUGCCUAAGGAUAAAUAGAAUUUUAUUUAUAGUUAGAAUUUAUUGCUAAAUUUUAGGGGUCACUCCUAAAAAGAAGGGUUGAACGACGAUUUUGUGCUAUUUAUUAUAUAUAUAUAUAUAUAGAUUAAUUUCUAUCAUUGUUGAUUUUGCCCUAAACCCUAAACAACAAUAGCAGGUUUGGGUUUUUUUAAGUCUGACGAUGUCGUUUAGUACUCAGUAAGAGGCUGUCACACCUUGUUAUAUGUGGAAGCCCUCACCCCAUAUUCCACAUAUUUUUAUUAUGAUUAGAAGUUAGUUGUUAAUACAUGAAGCUCCCACAGGAAAAAAAUUGUGUCGACCACUGCUUGUAAUCUAAUUUUCUCAAGAUAAAAAUUAUAAUUUUAUUUUAGACAGGAAAGAUUAGAAUGGAAGAGGACACGUGUCCUGUAUAGUGGAAACGAACAAGAGAAAGAAUUAACAAAACAUAAGGCCAAGCUCUAAAUGCUUAAUGUACUAGAAGAAAGGACCACCAGCGUACCCCUUAAGUUGAAUUUCUACUUGCACGUAAGGAUACGAACCAAAGUGCAUCAUUAUGUGCAGUGUUAUUGUUGCACUAAAAUAACGGGGAGACAAACACGGCAUGGAAGACCUGAACCCCAACUAUGCAUAUAACCAGAACUCUGAUACUAUAUCAAGACAAAAUCUUCUAAUAACUUAAGCUACAGGAGAAUAAAUCCAACCAUGCAAAUCCUGGUUUCACAUACUAACAAACAAGCUUAAGCAUCAACACAUCAAAUACUUCAACCAAAAGCCCAAAGAGACUUAAUUCUGCCAUUCUUACUGUUCUUCCGUACCAUAUACAAAACUAGAAUGUCCUGAUUUGAACUCCAAUUCUCUUACCUUUUUAUUAAUUGGAGUUCUCAAAAAUUAUACCCUACAUGAGCUAAUUGUACAUAUUUUCUGAAGUGCUUUCAGCAUUGUUUUUUGUGUUUGGUUUACCACAUUUAUAAAUGAACUCAGCUAAAUUCUGCCUCACUAUCACACUAAACUAUAAAAUAAUCGUAUAAGACCACUAUGUACCUCCAACAAUGUUGAAUAGUUGCUGUUUUAUUAACUUUUCUCUGCAGUUACCCCAAUUUGUUGAAAUAUCCAGCUAAUAGUCCUUAUAUUUCACGCAGCAUCGUGCAUAGAGGUCUGGUAAGAUUGUAACCAUGCCUUUCAACUAGUAUAAGAAUCUAAAAUUUGAUUACCCCAAUAUUGUCACUAGGCAGGGACUUCAAAACAGAAAUUUACUUGGUUACCUAGAAUUUGACACAACAAUACAUAUUCCAUAUACGAGAUUUAUAUACAUGUCAAAUCUUCAUUAUCUAGUUAGGAUAAUCAGUUGACAGUAAAAACAAUCUUCAAAAUAAAGUCCAAAUAAGGAAGAAUAUUGGAAGAAAUAAUUCAGCGGAAAUCAUAUUCAGUAAAAUUUUGAUAGAAAUGCAGAAUCCCUUACUUCUAUCUCAUUCAUCAACUUCAUGGCCUCAAUGAUACACAGAACCUGACCCUUCUGUACUUUAUCUCCAGCCUAAAGAGAAUGACUCUCAAGUUAAGCACAAAGUAAAAUAUAGAUAAUAAAGAAGAGUAUUGGUUAGACAUUAAUGCUGCACAGUUAAACAGGCAGUGCUCAUCAUAAAGGUUUUCCGAUCAGAGUCGUAUGAAUCAUAAUACGGAGAUAAUUACCUUCACAAAUGCUGGUUCUCCUGGUGCUGGAUU
rnacentral:lncRNA from 1 species